AUCUAUGGCCAUGCCACUCUGAACAAGCCCAAUCCUGUCUGAUCUCGGUAGCUAAGCAGGGUCGGGCCUGGUUAGUACUCAGACGAGAGACUACCUAGGAGGACCAGGUGCUGUAGGCA
rnacentral:rRNA from 1 species